UUAACUAUUUAAUAGUACUCAGACGACACUAACAUUCAGAGUUUAGGGGUCCUCUGGCGGGCACGCUGGACGCGAAUCCAGGCACAACUAGGCGCGGCCCGCCAAAGCAACAUUCUAUAAUGAUACACAAGGGUGGGAGAUCUACCCCGAAGGGCAUGAACUCUGUAAUGAUCCUUCCGCAGGUUCACCUACGGAAA
rnacentral:misc_RNA from 1 species